rnacentral:rRNA from 1 species
UACGAAGGGGCUAGCGUUGUUCGGAUUUACUGGGCGUAAAGCGCACGUAGGCGGAUCGUUAAGUCGGGGGUGAAAUCCUGGAGCUCAACUCCAGAACUGCCUUCGAUACUGGCGCUCUUGAGUCCGGAAGAGGUGAGUGGAACUCCUAGUGUAGAGGUGGAAUUCGUAGAUAUUAGGAAGAACACCAGUGGCGAAGGCGGCUCACUGGUCCGGUAUGACGCUGAGGUGCGAAAGCGUGGGGAGCAAACAGG